ACAAUUUUCAAAUAUGAAUAUCGUAUAUUUAUUAGUGUUUGUGUUUUGCUGUUCGGGACAAUGGAGCUACGGUAAAUUAUGUGGGGAAGAUUGUUGUGCAUUUUACUUUAAAAGCGAUGGAGCCUGUAAAGAAUGUCCAACUGGAACUGUAAGGUUAAGUGAGGAUGCUGAAGAUCAUUGUAAACCAUGUCAGAGGGGAUUUUAUGGAUACAGAUGCGUAAAUAUGUGCAAAUGUUCAAAACAUGAAA